rnacentral:lncRNA from 1 species
UUUAUAUAUUAGUACUAUGUUUAUCUUCUCGUACAGGGACAUAACAGUAAAUUCAGUAAGUAUAUUUUGAUUCAACUGGAACAAUCUACUCGACCGGAGUUGAGUAUUCAAAUUCACCCAUUACAUAUUUUGUAUAAAUGUAUGUUAAUAUGAUACACAUGUAACUAUAAUGAAUAAUUUCUUACUUACGUUCUCACUUACUUACUUACGCAGUAUUUUGCGAUCAAGCGCAGUAUAUUUAGUCAACACGUUCAAAUUAUGCAAUAACGUUACCACACAUUUGUAUCCAUGUAUGAUUUUCAUGAAAAGAAAAAUUUAUUUAAAACAGAGGCAAAUUACAAAUUUAUCAUAUUUUAUCCUGUCUGAAUUUCAAAAUCAAAUUUCAGAUCUUAUGGCAUGAUUUAAAAUUGAAGACUAUUGUUUCUGUGUAUUUUUUUGUUUUUAUAUCUGUGGCAUAUGUCGAAGCUGAUUAGGGGUCUGAGGCGGGGGUUGACGCUGGUGCACACGUUUAUCCAGUUGAUCCCAUGGCUGAUCAUUAGGAUUCCAAAAAGUCCGGUGAUUUGGAAGGCCAAGAUAGCACAUUGAUGAUAUUCUGCAUGUCCAAACAUAACUAUUGUCAGACAUAGCUAAGUGCAAAAUUGUCUGAAACCGAUUUCAGAUAUCUUGCUGCUAUGUCAUUUGAUUUCUUGCAUUCAUACCACAUCCUAUCAAUCUAAUUUUAGUAUUAGAGAUUUGCAAAUAAAAAAAUGGCUAUGUGUAAAUUCACAUUGCGAAAGAGUGUCACGGUACUUGUCAUCCAACAUGCAUGUAUUUGUUUUAUGUUAUAUAUAUACGUUAUAUUGUUAUUCUCGUGGAUUUUGUCAUGUGUGUUACAUUUUAUGUUAUGUCGUUGUUCUCCUCUAUAUUUAAUGCGUUUCGCGUUUUUAGUUUGUUCCCCGAUUUUGUUUUUUGUCCAUGGAUUUAUGAGUUUUGAACAGCGGUAUAUUACUGUUGCCUUUAUUAUGCACUUUUAAAAUGAUAAAACUUGAUUCAGAUUCGGUACAUAAAACAACAUUAUUAUUUAACCUAGUUAAAUAUAGACUCAAGAUAAAUUUGUCAUAAGUAAACAAAUAUAUGUGGUUCUGUUUCUUAUCUUCAGAAUUAUUUUAUGUUUCUAAUAUUUUUUAUUGUAGAAAAAGAUGUUCGGUAAAAUUAUUUUAGUAAUACUUCCAUUGGCUUUCGAAACUACUCCUGUUCCUCCAAGACCUUUGGGAUUUAUAUAUGGAGAACAAAGUACAAAUGUUACGCCAGUCGAGUUCGAUGUCUACAUGGGGCCUCUUUGUCCGGACAGCCAAGAUGCCUUACCAACUUUAGUCAAACUUGCAGACCAUUACGGACCGGACAAGUUAAGACUACGCAUGCAUCUGUUUCCUUUACCGUAUCAUAGAAAUUCAUUCCUGGUUGCUAUGGUAAGUUCUAAUUGUCUUGUUAAUCAAGAGAUUCUACGUAGUAAUUUUUGUACGGAAUGAUAAUGGUUGUGUCGUAGAAACACAAACGUUCAAUACUCCGACUUUUACUUGAAAUUAAGAAAAUAAGAAUAUAUCGUUCAAAUGAGACAGAUUAAAAAUCAUGAAAAAUACACUUAAAAAGUUUCCUUUGACUGAAUCAUUUUUUUCUGUUUUUAACUUCAUCAAAACGGUAAAAUCCAAAUAUUUUGGAAAAACCACUACAAGAGGGAGGUAUGACUUUUUAGGUCCGGGUCAAAUUUUUUUUCCGUGCAAAAGCGCGAACAUUUCUUUUUUAUUUACAACGCUCACAAUUUAACACUAUAUGGUUUGUGGGGAAAUCAAGUAUAAUAAUAUUUUGUUUGACAUAUGCUUAACCACAAUACUUUUUUUCAUGAAAUUUGGGAUCACCAGAACUUUAUGUCAAAGAAAUAGCCACCAAUCAGCUGAAAGAUUGGUAAUUUCGAUAUAACAGCAGGCAAAGUUUUUUCCCAAAAUGUUUAAACAUUAUUUAUUUAACAGGGAACCCAUUCAGUGGAUAAGAUGACCAACGGAAACAUGACAUUUAUCUGGGCACAAAUUGUAUACAGCCAUCUCGAUAUCUUUUAUGAUACGACUCUCACCGAGGACCAAGUUAUAUUGUAUGUACUUUAUAUAUUGAAGUUAUAUUUGAUAAAGCAUGAUCAAUAAAGACCUUCCUAUCAUUGUAAAAAGAUUGAUUGAUUGAUUUGAUUUGAUUGAUUGAUUGAUUGAUUGAUUGAUUGAUGUUUAUACCUACUUUCAGCACUAUAUCGCUACUGUGGAUUCAUUAUUAUGCGUUGGAUACCAAUUUUCGUGGAUUUCGUAGGCACAGUCAAACCACGAAAUUAAAUAUUCAACGAAUGAUAAUUUUUCUAUAGGUUUGUAUGCAGACUUCAGCAAAACCAUGAAAUUAAAUAUCCACGAAUAUGCAAGUUUUUUCAAUCCACGAAAAUUGAUACCCACGAAAAUAAAUGAAUCCACAGUAUUUCAUGUCCAUCCCUUUUCAUUGGUAUAGAAAGCCGAAAUGCUUAGAGAUAGUUAACGAUCUUCGGCAGAUAAACUGACAAUCCCAAAUACGGAAUUCGAACUCGCAACCGCUGUGUUGAAACGCUACUGAUGCAUUAGUUGGACUACUAAGUUGACCUGCAUCAGUUAAUCUGCGCAUAUACACUAUUGUAACCAUUGAAUCGAUUCAGCGAAACAUGCAUGGAGAAGGACAAUUAUAUUCAGUUUUAUUGUUUUAUUUUUUGUUUCCCUGAGCUUUUAUAAUGCUCUGUAAUAUAUUGUCCUUUAUCUAAAGGAAAAUGAUAGAGCUAGCAAAGAGCAUGGGAUUGCCGGAAGUCGAAUUCAAACAGCUGGUAACAAAUAGUGGAAUCAAUCACAAGUGUCGAGUCGAAUGGAAACAUGGUUGUUCAAGUAAGCAUUUUUUUCCCUCUUUAUAAAUGUUUAAAUAUAAAACUAUAUAUAAUUCAACUUAUGGUAUCUACACAACUGUAAGCUGAUAACCGUUAGCCCAGUCUCUAUUUUACAGUUCUAAAAUGACGUCCUUAUUACGCAAAAUGUGAACAAAGCCUUGAAAAGACUUCCAUCAAAAUCUUUGGUUUUAGUGAACAUCAUUCGUGUGAUUAAGGGCGUCAUCACUUCCGUUCCUAUGUUGAGCGAGUGGUGGGGGAAAUAUAAUGCUAAAUGCAGGGAUCAUUCGUAAUAUGUCUUCCUGUAGACUUCGCUGGUGUUCCAUAAGUGGUUUCGGUGGUAUGUGCAUAGAUAUUAAUGAUUGUUCACUUAUAUGUAUAUACAUAUCAUAUAACAAAACAUUUUAAUAUUAUUAAUUUAUCUUCUUUAGAAAGUAGUUGAUGAGUGUUCAUUGUAGUAAUGUGUUUAUAACAAAUGAUAAGGAAUGUUAGUUUGCAUUUGACGAUGUCUACGUACUCAUCAUGUUUAUCGAUCUGUUAAAAUCCCAAAACAAAUAUUACGUAAUAGAAGUUUAGGCUAUAGCAAUACACCGAAAUGCCCUCACGGUCAUCCGAUGUCAAAAUGAGGGAACAAUUUGAAAACAAAUGAUAUGUCUUCCUCAUGUUGUUUUUCAAUUUCAUUUUGGGUCAUAAAUAUUGAUAAAACCAAUGUUUUUACGUAUAAGUAUACGUUAUAUGAAUAUUUACAGAUUUCCCCAAUCUUACAAUGUUUAUUUAACAGAGUUUUUGUUUUAGGAGGAGUAACUUCAACUCCGACCUUUAUGAUAAAUGACGUAGUAGUGGCUGAAGAUGACCAAGCCAACAGGUCAGAAGCUGACUGGAUUAAAAUUAUCGACCCAAUACUGAACCAAGUAUAAAAGGUAAUAAUAGAAUUGAGAAUGGAAAUGGUGGAAUAUGUCAAAGAGACAACAACUUCUACGAACAGCAAAAAACAGCCGAAGGCCACCAAUGGGUCUUCAACACUGCGAAAAAAUCUGGCACCCGAAGGCAUGUUUCAGCCGGCCCCUAAACAGAAAUGUGUACUAGUUCAGUGACAACCAAACUACAAAAUAUAUAAAUGAACUAAAAUUAAAAAGCUAAAUCUUCAGCUUUGAAGAAGAAAAACAAACAUAUGUUAUUUUCUAAAACGUUUAUUGGCAAAUAUUUCAAAAACUUUGCAAACUGAUUCGAACAUGAUCAGGGCGAGAAAUUAAGAUUACCGUUUGAGAAUUAAGGUUAGAAUAUGAGAGUGACAGAAAAUUUGCUUUGAGACAGGUUAUACCUACGGACUUCUCAGAGAACAGUAAGGAAUCCUUGUACUAAACAAAAAGUAUACUAGUCUAAGACUAUGUAUCACAUUCAAUGUCCUCAUUCUUUUUUUUUCAUUUUAGGUGCAGUUGGAAAGUUGCAAUAGCGAAUAACAACAUCUUCUUCAUGCAUUGUUGAACUAAAAUCUACAUGUAUUUUAAAAAAGUGAAAAAUCUUACAAGGUGACUUUUGUAAAAUUCAUUUGGUAAAAAACUAAAUUGUCAUAAAGUUAUAGAUAUUGCGGAGUUUAAUUGUUCUGAUAGCGGUUGUCCUGGUGAGUUCAAUUGAUAUUGAUGUAUAUAUGUACACAGGUGGCGUUAAAUACUUACAUAUACAUCAUGUUCAUUUUCCUUUUCGACUAUUCCCAAAUUCAUAUCAUUACUUAGAUAGUACGGGUGAUAACUUGGAUCGUAGAGGAGAUAACUCAGUUAAGAAAAAAAAUCCAAUAAAAAGUUUUAACCUAUUAUGAUCUGAAGGCGUGUUAUAAGAGCAAUCUUCUCACAUUUUAUCUUAAUUCUAUGGUGUAGUUUUCUUUUUGUCACACACAAUUGGAUUUUCCAUACAUACUAUAACAAAAUCUGACAAUUUUGCACAACCUGUAGCGUAGAAAAAAG